CAGCAGCCGCGGGAAUACGAAGGGUGCAAGCGUUAAUCGGAAUUACUGGCGUAAAGCGUGCGCAGGCGGUUCGCUAAGACAGAUGUGAAAUCCCCGGGCUUAACCUGGGAACUGCAUUUGUGACUGGCGGGCUAGAGUGUGUCAGAGGGGGGUAGAAUUCCAGGUGUAGCGGUGAAAUGCGUAGAGAUCUGGAGGAAUACCGGUGGCGAAGGCGGCCCCCUGGACAAAGACUGACGCUCAGGUGCGAAAGCGUGGGGAGCAAACAGGAUUAGAUACCCCGGUAGUCCCUGUCUCUUAUACA
rnacentral:rRNA from 1 species